GAAACCUACGGGGCGCAGCAGUGGGGAAUAUUGCACAAUGGGGGAAACCCUGAUGCAGCGACGCCGCGUGAGUGAAGAAGUAUUUCGGUAUGUAAAGCUCUAUCAGCAGGGAAGAAAAUGACGGUACCUGACUAAGAAGCCCCGGCUAACUACGUGCCAGCAGCCGCGGUAAUACGUAGGGGGCAAGCGUUAUCCGGAUUUACUGGGUGUAAAGGGAGCGUAGACGGCAUGGCAAGUCAGAUGUGAAAACUAUGGGCUCAACCCAUAGCCUGCAUUUGAAACUGUAUUUCUUGAGUGCUGGAGAG
rnacentral:rRNA from 1 species